AACUUAGUUGUUUUUAUCAGUAUGAGAGUUUAUGUGCAGCGACUCAGUACAUCUAAAGCACUCUGGUGGAUUUAAUGUGAGGGGAAUUAACAAACAUUUUGAAAAAAAUGAGAUCCAAAGCAUGUCUGGGUACUUGAGACUGCUGGAGUUUGUGCAGGAGGUUUUUGUACGGCCGCUUAAUGAGUCUGUAUCACUGUGGUACACUUUUGGUGGAGGAACCAGACUGGCUUUUGGAACUGAUACUCGGCCCAGCCUGACGCUGCUUCCCCCCUCCAGUGUGGAGCUGCAGCAGGGGAAGGCCACACUCAUGUGCCUGGCCACCAAGGGCUUCCCCUGGGACUGGAGGCUGAGCUGGAAGGUGGACGGGAGCAGCAGGAGCUCCGCGGGGAGCCAGAGCCCUGCGCUCCUGGAGAAGGACGGCCUCUACAGCUGGAGCAGCACCCUCACCCUCACCCAGGACCAGUGGAGGAAGGGGGCAAAGGUCACCUGUGAGGCCACACAGGGCAACCAGCAUCCCGUCACUCAGGAUAUCAAGACGGGAGACUGCUCCGAGUAGAGACAGAUCACUCACACAUGCUUACACAGAGGGAGAAACACACACACGCACACACACACACAAAUGCAUGCACAUGCAGACUGAUAGGCGCACACAUACACUUACGUGUUCACAUACAUACUGUUUUCUGGUAUUAACCUAAAUAUGCUUCAUGUUUCAUAUUUGCCCAAAUGUAUUGUGUAUGUUAUCUUUCUUUAUUUUAACUUCAGACAUGAAUAAAAAGCUUGAUAAUCA